GUGCUCGCUUCGGCAGCACAUAUACUGAAAUUGGAAUGAUACAGAGAAGAUUAGCAUGGACCCUGUGCAAGGGUGACACACAAAUUCGUGAAGCAUUCCAUAUUUUU
rnacentral:snRNA from 1 species